rnacentral:rRNA from 1 species
GAUGAACGCUAGCGGCAGGCUUAACACAUGCAAGUCGAGGGGCAGCACGUCUUCGGAUGGUGGCGACCGGCGCACGGGUGCGUAACGCGUAUAGAACCUACCUUUUACAGGGGAAUAGCCCAGAGAAAUUUGGAUUAAUGCCCCAUAGUAUUAUUAGAUGGCAUCAUUUGGUAAUUAAACAUUUAUGGGUAAAAGAUGGCUAUGCGUUCUAUUAGCUAGAUGGUAAGGUAACGGCUUACCAUGGCGACGAUAGAUAGGGGUCCUGAGAGGGAGAUCCCCCACACUGGUACUGAGACACGGACCAGACUCCUACGGGAGGCAGCAGUGAGGAAUAUUGGACAAUGGGCGAGAGCCUGAUCCAGCCAUGCCGCGUGCAGGAAGACGGUCCUAUGGAUUGUAAACUGCUUUUUAUACAGGAAGAAACACUCCCUCGUGAGGGAAUUUGACGGUACUGUAUGAAUAAGCACCGGCUAACUCCGUGCCAGCAGCCGCGG